rnacentral:rRNA from 1 species
AACGAACGCUGGCGGCAGGCCUAACACAUGCAAGUCGAACGCUGUAGCAAUACAGAGUGGCAGACGGGUGAGUAACGCGUGGGAACCUUCCCAAUGGUGCGGAAUAGCCCAGGGAAACUUGGGGUAAUACCGCAUAAGCCCUUAGGGGGAAAGAUUUAUCGCCAUUGGAUGGGCCCGCGUCGGAUUAGCUAGUUGGUGAGGUAAUGGCUCACCAAGGCAACGAUCCGUAGCUGGUUUGAGAGAAUGACCAGCCACACUGGGACUGAGACACGGCCCAGACUCCUACGGGAGGCAGCAGUGGGGAAUCUUGGACAAUGGGCGCAAGCCUGAUCCAGCCAUGCCGCGUGAGUGACGAAGGCCUUAGGGUUGUAAAGCUCUUUUGCCGGGGACGAUAAUGACGGUACCCGGAGGAUAAGUCCCGGCUAACUUCGUGCCAGCAGCCGCGGUAACAC